rnacentral:rRNA from 1 species
GUGGACUCUCAAGCGUGAGGUAAGGGCGUUUGGUGGAUGCCUUGGCAUGUACAGGCGAUGAAGGACGUGGCACGCUGCGAUAAGCGUCGGUGAGGUGUGAGCAACCUUUGACCCGACGAUUUCCGAAUGGGGAAACCCACCUAUCCCGAUUAUUCCUAGUUUGGUUCGCCAGGUUGGGAGUAAUCGAGAAACAGGUAUCACUUAGCUGAAUAAAAUAGGCUUCGUGAAGCGAACCCGGAGAACUGAAACAUCUCAGUACCCGGAGGAAAAGACAUCAACCGAGAUUCCGUUAGUAGUGGCGAGCGAACGCGGACCAGGCCAGUGCCUUCAUUUCAACUAGCAGAACAGUCUGGAAAGGCUGACCAUAGCGGGUGACAGUCCCGUAUGCGAAAGUGAUGAUGAAGGACUCGAGUAGGGCGGGGCACGUGAAACCCUGUCUGAACAUGGGGGGACCACCCUCCAAGCCUAAAUACUCGUACAUGACCGAUAGCGAACUAGUACCGUGAGGGAAAGGUGAAAAGCACCCCGAUGAGGGGAGUGAAACAGUACCUGAAACCGAACGCCUACAAGCAGUGGGAGCAUCUUUAUGGUGUGACCGCGUACCUCUUGCAUAAUGGGUCUGUGACUUAGUGUAUCAAGCAAGCUUAAGCCGUUAGGUGUAGGCGCAGCGAAAGCGAGUCUGAAUAGGGCGAUUGAGUUUGAUGCAUUAGACCCGAAACCCGGCGAUCUAGGCAUGACCAGGUUGAAGGUGGGGUAACACUCACUGGAGGACCGAACCGUUUAAUGUUGAAAAAUUAUCGGAUGAGUUGUGUUUAGGGGUGAAAGGCCAAUCAAGCCGGGAAAUAGCUGGUUCUCCGCGAAAUCUAUUGAGGUAGAGCGUCGAGCGAAUACCCUAGGGGGUAGAGCACUGGAUGGUUGCGGGCUGCGCGAGCGGUACCAAUACUAACCAAACUCCGAAUACCUAGGAGUACUACUCGGCAGACAGACGGCGGGUGCUAAGGUCCGUCGUCAAAAGGGAAACAGCCCUGACCUACAGCUAAGGUCCCCAAGUCAUCACUAAGUGGGAAAGCAUGUGGGAAUCCCAAAACAGCCAGGAKGUUGGCUUAGAAGCAGCCAUCCUUUAAAGAAAGCGUAACAGCUCACUGGUCUAAACAAGGGUUCCUGCGGCGAAAAUGUAACGGGGCUAAAGUGAUGCACCGAAGCUUAGGGUGUGUAGUUUACUACACGCGGUAGCGGAGCGUUCCGUAAGCCUGUGAAGCGAUCUGGUAAUGGGUCGUGGAGGUAUCGGAAGUGCGAAUGYWGACAUGAGUARCGAUAAAGRGGGUGAGAKRCCCYCUCGCCGAAAGACCAAGGGUUCCUGCUUAAAGYUAAUCUGAGCAGGGUKAGCCGGCCCCUAAGAYGAGSCMGAARKGSGUAGUCGAUGGGAACCACGUUAAUAUUCGUGGGCCUGGUGGUAGUGACGGAUUUCUUGUGUUGUACGUCCUUAUCGGAUUGGACGUGCUUCGACGAAGUCCCAGGAAAUAGCUCCACCGUAYAGACCGUACCCGAAACCGACACAGGUGGUCAGGUAGAGUAUACCAAGGCGCUUGAGAGAASURUSYUGAAGGAACUCGGCAAAUUGCCUCCGUACCUUCGGAAGAAGGAGGCCCUCAUUUUGCGCAAGCAGAUUGAGGGGGCACAGGCCAGGGGGUAGCGACUGUUUAGCAAAAACACAGGGCUCUGCUAAGUCGGCUUCAAGACGACGUAUAGGGCCUGACGCCUGCCCGGUGCCUGAAGGUUAAGUGGAGGGGUGCAAGCUCCGAAACGAAGCCCAGGUAAACGGCGGCCGUAACUAUAACGGUCCUAAGGUAGCGAAAUUCCUUGUCGGGUAAGUUCCGACCUGCACGAAUGGCGUAACGACUUC